rnacentral:rRNA from 1 species
AUGAAAGAGAGUUGCUUCAUUUGGAUCAACCCUCCCUCCGGGCCAUAUAGCAGAGUUGGGUCAGGCAUGGCCAGCUCCGGAGGGUUCCGGUAUGCGGCGAUCCUGCUUGUUUUGUGCAUUCUCCAUGUGGACGUCGUAAGGGGACAAAUCACUCACCCUACUGAAGUAAGUGCUCUCAAUGCUAUCAAAGGCAGUUUAAUUGAUCCUAUGAACAAGCUGAAGAAAUGGAAUAGAGGAGAUCCAUGCACAUCAAAUUGGACAGGAGUCAUCUGCCACAAGAUACCCAAUGAUGCAUAUCUUCAUGUAACAGAGCUGGAGUUGUUUAACAUGAAUCUUUCUGGAACUUUGGCACCAGAGGUUGGUCUUCUGUCUCAGCUGAACAAGUUGGAUUUUAUGUGGAACAAUUUGACUGGUAACAUCCCGAAAGAGAUAGGCAAUAUCACAACACUCACUCUUAUAACUUUGAAUGGUAAUCAACUAUCUGGUUCCCUACCAGAUGAGAUUGGCUAUCUCCAGAAGUUAAACAGAUUACAGAUUGACCAAAACCAAAUAUCUGGACCCAUACCUAAAUCAUUUGGUAAUUUAACAAGCAUGAAGCAUUUUCACAUGAACAAUAAUUCAUUGAGUGGGCGAAUUCCACCUGAGUUGUUCAGAUUGCCUGUGCUCCUUCAUCUGCUUGUGGAUACCAAUAAUUUAUCUGGGCCUCUUCCUCCAGAAUUAGCGGAUACACGUAGUUUGAAAAUACUUCAGGCUGAUAAUAAUAACUUCAGUGGAAGUUCCAUCCCUGCUGUAUACAACAACAUACGGACACUUUUAAAGCUGAGUCUUAGGAAUUGCAGUUUGCAAGGAGUUAUUCCUGAUCUAAGUGGCAUACCUGACCUUGGCUAUUUGGAUCUUAGCUGGAACCAACUGACAGGAUCUAUACCAACUAAUAAACUCGCUUCAAAUGUCACCAAGAUUGAUUUGUCGCAUAACUUUCUUAAUGGAACUAUUCCGGCAAACUUCUCCGGGCUGCCUAAUCUUCAGUUCUUGUCGUUUGAAGCGAACAAUCUCAGCGGCGCUGUUCCAUCGACAAUCUGGAGUGGUAUCACUUUUACGGGAAACAGAAGCCUUCUUCUGGACUUCCAAAACAACAUCCUUGACACUAUUCCAGAUGCAUUUGAGCCUCCAAAAGCUGUCACUCUACUGCUUUUUGGAAACCGCGUAUGUGACACUUCUAAUCCAGCUCGAGCAGCCGGACUUUGUCAACCCACAUAUGUAAACGACGCACCAUCUGGACAUGGGCCACAAGUUAGUUUGAACUGCGCUCCUUGCCCGACGGAUAGAAAUUAUGAAUACAGUCCAUCAUCCCCUAUACCUUGUUUCUGUGCUGUGCCUCUGGGAGUUGGAUUUCGGCUGAAGAGUCCAGGGAUCGCAGACUUCCGCUCCUACAAAGAAGCCUUUGAGAUCGACUCGACCUCUGUAUUGGGCCUGAGUGUUUACCAGCUAUACAUUGAGCAGUACACAUGGGAGGCUGGUCCAAGGCUGAAUAUGAAUUUGAAGUUAUUCCCAAAUAACACUAAUUUAUUCACGAUAUCGGAAGUUAUGCGGCUCAGGCAAUUACUUGCUGGAUGGCAAAUUACUCUAUCAGACACUUUUGGUCCGUACGAGCUUCUCAAUUUCACGCUUGGUUCCUAUGGAGAUGAUUUUCCAACUGUGGUGUCAUCAGGUUUAAACAAGGGCGCACUAGCUGGGAUUUUGGCAGGAACAAUAAUUGCUGCUAUCGCAGUUUCAGUGGUUUCUACACUUUUUAUAGUGAGAAGACGCUCAAAACGUCGAACAGUUUCGAGGCGGUCAUUACUGUCGAGGUAUUCCGUCAAGAUUGACGGUGUGAGAUCCUUCACAUUUGAAGAAAUGGCUACAGCAACAAAUGAUUUUGAUGAUUCAGCUGAAAUUGGUCAGGGAGGUUAUGGAAAAGUCUAUAAAGGAAAACUAGCUGAUGGAACAGCCGUUGCAAUCAAACGAGCACAUGAGGAUUCUCUGCAAGGUUCAAAGGAAUUUGUCACAGAAAUAGAAUUGCUGUCAAGAUUGCAUCAUCGUAAUUUGGUAUCUCUGAUUGGCUAUUGUGAUGAAGAAGAUGAGCAGAUGCUGGUGUAUGAAUUCAUGCCAAAUGGCACUCUACGUGAUCAUCUUUCUGCAACGUGUAAAAGACCUCUUAACUUUGCUCAGAGGUUGCAUAUUGCACUGGGUGCUGCAAAGGGAAUCCUCUAUCUACACACCGAGGCAGAUCCUCCUAUAUUUCACCGUGAUGUUAAGGCCACCAACAUUCUAUUGGACUCCAAGUUCGUAGCAAAGGUGGCUGACUUUGGUCUUUCAAGGCUUGCUCCGGUCCCGGAUAUUGAAGGAAAAUUGCCAGCUCAUAUAUCCACUGUUGUUAAGGGCACCCCAGGCUAUCUUGAUCCAGAAUACUUCUUAACUCACAAAUUGACAGAAAAAAGCGAUGUGUAUAGCCUUGGUGUUGUGCUGCUUGAACUAUUGACCGGGAUGAAGCCAAUCCAGUUUGGUAAAAACAUCGUUAGAGAGGUGAACACAGCUUACCGAUCCGGAGACAUUUCUGGAAUCAUCGACAGCCGAAUGUCCUGGUGCCCUCCGGAGUUUGCCACGAGGUUCCUCUCGCUGGGCCUGAAAUGCUGCCAAGACGACACCGACGCAAGGCCUUACAUGGCCGAGAUCGCCAGGGAACUCGAUGCCAUCCGGAGCGAUUUGCCCGAGGGAGAAGAUUUCAUGUCUGUAACCUCCAUGGAGAUAAGCUCCUCAGGCACGCUGACCCAAUCUACGUCGAACUCCUUGAUGACGACCACCGGGGAGCAUUUCGAUAUAUCCCAUGCCUCCAGCAGCGGCGUCCCUUCCAGGAUGGCGAUGAAUCCUCGCUAG